ACAAAUUGAGCAAAUGACAACAAACUUCAUCCAACUCCGCCGAUUGUGUAUGGCCAGCGUCCGUGGCUUCGGCCAUAUAAAGCAUGGGCACUGUGCGAACCCCUCCCAUCCAUCGCAAGCCACCGCCCGGGAGGAAGGAAGACCACCAUAGUGUGUGGAGUGCGAAAAGCGCAUAGAGGGGAGGAGAAGCCACCGACGCCAACUCGUGCAGUUAUCGUUGUUGCGUCUUCACAGAGGGGUUGAGGUGGAAGGAUGAGGUACACCGAUCACGCGCGUAGCACCCUUACACCAUGGGGUUGAUUGGAGUCACCUCUAUUGCUCGCUGGGGGUCGAGAGGAGAUCCACCACCAUAGAAUCGGGUUCACAUCGCUGUUCUGCCCUCGGGUGUGAAACCAAGAGCUUCACUCAGCCGCGCAAAAGGUGUAUGUAACUUCUCUUGGGCGGAUUUGCGGUCGGGGCUACCAGGAUUGCUUGUCAGAGUUCACCCCACCCGCUGAUCCGUAGAGCACUGUCGACCGGCUUGACCACGACGCCAACGGCGGUGAGAUUUCUUCCCCAGUGUUUGCCAUUGUCUCUUCCUCACGUCAACCACGUCGGGUCAAAGCAUUGCAAGUCGGGGCGAAGGUUCGCGCAUGUCGACGAUGGCUUCCACCACGGGAGGACGGGCGCGCCGUUGUCUGGGAAUUGAAUAAGGAAGCGUGUCCUCGACCGUUGAUCUGUCUAGUGAUGGUAGAGAUUAGAUCUUCAAAAUAACAUUUCGACCGAUGUAAAUCGAGGUGUAGGAUCGAGAUCGGGUUGUUCAGUGCAUGUGCACUCGAGUCAGCCGAGUCAAUUUGAUAAAGAGCCCCUCGGAGAAGUGAAAAUUAACCCGCCAUCCAUGUGAAUAGAAAGAUCCCUACAUUCGGGUCCAAACUUUUGUAGGGCAGCCCCUGAAUUUUCAAAAAAGCUUCAAGCGCAGUCCAAAAGAAAAACCAGGAAAAUAAUAAAUGAAUAUAGAAAAUGAUUUUAGUAUCAAAAUAAUUCCCAAAACUUCGAAAAAUCAUAUCUCCUACAUUUU
rnacentral:lncRNA from 7 species